ACUUCGGGUGUCAGUGGCAGACGGGUGAGUAACACGUGGGAACGUACCCUUCGGUUCGGAAUAACUCAGGGAAACUUGAGCUAAUACCGGAUACGCCCUUUUGGGGAAAGGUUUACUGCCGAAGGAUCGGCCCGCGUCUGAUUAGCUUGUUGGUGGGGUAACGGCCUACCAAGGCGACGAUCAGUAGCUGGUCUGAGAGGAUGAUCAGCCACACUGGGACUGAGACACGGCCCAUACUCCUACGGGAGGCAGCAGUGGGCAAUAUUGGACAUGGGCGCACGCCUGUAUCCAGCCAUGCCGCGUGAGUUGAUGAAGGCCUUAGGGUUGUAAAGCUCUUUUGUCCGGGUACGAUAAUGACGGUACCGGAAGAAUAAGCCCCGGCUAACUUCGUGCCAGCAGCCGCGGUAAUACGAAGGGGGCUAGCGUUGCUCGGAAUCACUGGGCGUAAAGGGCGCGUAGGCGGCCGAUUAAGUCGGGGGUGAAAGCCUGUGGCUCAACCACAGAAUUGCCUUCGAUACUGGUUGGCUUGAGACCGGAAGAGGACAGCGGAACUGCGAGUGUAGAGGUGAAAUUCGUAGAUAUUCGCAA
rnacentral:rRNA from 1 species